rnacentral:lncRNA from 1 species
AAAAAAAAUGUAUAAAAUCUUGUUGACAGUAGACUGAUAGUACUGUUUUGCUAAAAAAAAUUAUAUCCACAUAUUUGUUAACUAUAGGAAUGUUAAAUGGUCGGAUUUGGAGCGAAUUUUUAAAAAUCCGAACCUAAACCCGACUCCAAACCCGAAAACUGAAUUCGAACCCGAGCCCGACGGAUUUUAAAAAUCCAUAUUCAAACUUGAAACUGAACUCGAAAAUCCGAACCCUAAACAAUUAUUUCUCUUUUUAAUAUUUCCAAAUAUAUUACAUUAAAUCUAAAUUUUUAAAAUAAAAAUUCAAAUAUAACAUCAAAUUUUUAUAUACAUAUUAUAUAUAAUGUAAAAUAAAUUCAGGUUUGGGCCAGGUUCGGAUUCGGAUCAGAUACAGUCAAAAUCCAUAUCCGAAUCCAUAUCCGUCCGAUUUUUGUUUAUCCAAAACCAUAUCCGUUUGCAUAUGAUAAAUUCGCUUCGUUCAGAUUCGGAUUCAGAUAAAUUUCGAAUAUCUAUAUCCACCCUUAGUUAACCGUUUAAUUUUUUAGACUGUUAGUAGGGGGUUCGGCUGCUCAACUUAGGCUUAAUUUGGUAUUGAUGUCCAUCUAUGCUACUAGAUAAAAUGAAGUUGGGAUAAAAAUAUAUAAAAAUAUAUUUCUGCGUUUUUCGGUAGGAUGCAGAAAAUAUAUUAUAACUGAUUCAUUGUGAUAUAUGGAACGUAAUAUUACAUACAGAAAUAAUCAAAAUAUUUUUCUAUCGUACUUUUUUAUCACAUGUAAUGCAAUCUCCUCGCAAUUUAAAAUGAAGCCUUAAAAAUUUUCGCUGU